rnacentral:tRNA from 1 species
GCGAGCGUAGCUCAACGGUAGAGCAGCCGUCUUAUACACGGCCGGUUCUUGGUUCGAAUCCAAGCGCUCGCA